GAUGAACGCUGGCGGCGUGCUUAACACAUGCAAGUCGAACGGAAAGGCCCAAGCUUGCUUGGGUACUCGAGUGGCGAACGGGUGAGUAACACGUGGGUGAUCUGCCCUGCACUUCGGGAUAAGCCUGGGAAACUGGGUCUAAUACCGGAUAGGACCACGUCUUGGAUGUUGUGGUGGAAAGUUUUUUCGGUGUGGGAUGAGCUCGCGGCCUAUCAGCUUGUUGGUGGGGUAAUGGCCUACCAAGGCGUCGACGGGUAGCCGGCCUGAGAGGGUGUACGGCCACAUUGGGACGGAGAUACGGCCCAGACUCCUACGGGAGGCAGCAGUGGGGAAUAUUGCACAAUGGGCGCAAGCCUGAUGCAGCGACGCCGCGUGGGGGAUGACGGCCUUCGGGUUGUAAACUCCUUUCGCUAGGGACGAAGCGUUUUUGUGACGGUACCUGGAGAAGAAGCACCGGCUAACUACGUG
rnacentral:rRNA from 1 species